CCGGGGGGCGGCCCAGCGUUGGGAAUCUACCCAAGUCUUCGGAUCACUGAGGGAAUCCUGUCAUUAAUACCAUAUAUGCCUCCCUUUGUUGACAUCGGGGCGUAUAGAUUUAUCGGAGUUGGAUGAGCGAGUGCCGGAUAUCUUGUUGGUGAGUUACCGGCCCACCAAGCCGAGAGAUCCUUAGAUGGACGAGAGGCCGAUCCGCCACUUUGGCACUGACACAAGUCCCAAAGUCCUCGCGAGGCGGCAUUGGGGAAUAUGGGACAAUGGGCGCAAGCGUGAUCCACCAGGCUGCGUGAGUGUUUCCGGCCCUAGGGCUUUAAGCUCUUUCAGACGGUGAAGAUCCUGACGGUACCCGUAGAAGAAGCCCCGGCUAACUUCGUGCAGCAGCCGCGGUAAU
rnacentral:rRNA from 1 species